rnacentral:rRNA from 1 species
CACGUAGGGGGGCAAGCGUUGUCCGGAUUCAUUGGGCGUAAAGAGCUCGUAGGCGGUUCGAUAAGUCGGGUGUGAAACCUCCAGGCUCAACCUGGAGACGCCACCCGAUACUGUCGUGACUAGAGUCCAGUAGGGGAGCGUGGAAUUCCUGGUGUAGCGGUGAAAUGCGCAGAUAUCAGGAGGAACACCAGCGGCGAAGGCGCUGCUCUGGGCCGGUACUGACGCUGAGGAGCGAAAGCGUGGGGAGCGAACAGG